AUUGAACGCUAGCGGGAUGCCUUACACAUGCAAGUCGAACGGAGUGGCGAAGGGGUGAGGAAUGUAACGGAACGUGCCCAGUAGCGGGGGAUAACUACGCGAAAGCGUAGCUAAUACCGCAUACUAUUAGAGCGGCCGAUAUCGGAUUAGCUAGUUGGUGGGGUAAGGGCGCACCAAGGCGACGAUCCGUAGCUGGUUUGCGAGGAAGACCAGCCACACUGGGACUGAGACACGGCCCAGACUCCUACGGGAGGCAGCAGUGGGGAAUUUUGGACAAUGGGGGAAACCCUGAUCCAGCCAUCCCGCGUGUGCGAUGAAGGCCUUCGGGUUGUAAAGCACUUUUGGCAGGAAGGCGGUACCUGCAGAAUAAGCACCGGCUAACUACGUGCCAGCAGCCGCGGUAAUAC
rnacentral:rRNA from 1 species